rnacentral:rRNA from 1 species
GACGAACCGUGCGAACGUUGUUCGGAAUCACUGGGCUUAAAGGGCGCGUAGGCGGGCGGCCGCGUCCGGGGUGAAAUGCCACGGCUCAACCGUGGAACGGCCUCGGAUACGGGCGGCCUCGAGGGGGGUAGGGGCAUCUGGAACUGUGAGUGGAGCGGUGAAAUGCGUAGAUAUCAUUUGGAACGCCAACGGUGAAAACAGCUCGCUGGGGACCUGCUGACGCUGAGACACGAAAGCCAGGGGAGCGAACGGG